UACGUAGGGGGCAAGCGUUGUCCGGAAUCAUUGGGCGUAAAGAGCGCGUAGGCGGCCCUGUAAGUCCGCUGUGAAAGUCAAGGGCUCAACCCUUGGAUGCCGGUGGAUACUGCAGGGCUAGAGUCCGGAAGAGGCGAGUGGAAUUCCUGGUGUAGCGGUGAAAUGCGUAGAUAUCUGGAGGAACACCGGUGGCGAAGGCGGCAUUCUGGACCGAUAUUGACGCUGAGGAGCGAAAGCCAGGGGAGCAAACGGG
rnacentral:rRNA from 1 species